GUCACGGCAGGUGGCCCCGCUCAUGCGGCACUGGCCUCGCCCCCGAGCGCAGGCCCCGCCUCGCCACGCGCCGGUACUGAGGGAUGGCGUUCCCGCCUCGGGCGCGGCUGAGGCGAUGGUGGGGCUGAGGGGAUGUUCCUGCUCCCGGCCGUGAGGGGAUGGCCCGCCCUUGGGCCUGAGGCGGUGUCCUGCUGUGAGCUUCCACAACUGGCCCUCUGAGAGCACUGCACUGUGUUGGGACAGGUCUGAGGCAAUGCCCCUAUCCCCGGCUUUACCAAAUCGGCCCUCCAGGGGUGCCACGCAGUGUUUGUGCAGGUCCGAGUCGCAUUCCUAUCCAUGUAUCCAUGCAGUCCGUGAAAUUUGCCCUCUUGAGAGUGCUACGCUGUGUUUGCACGGGCCUGGGGUGCUGCCAUGUCACCUGGCCUUCCGAAGGGACACUUAGGGAGUGCUAUGCCAUGUUCAUGCAGGCCUAAGGUGGUGCCGUGUCACUGGGCCUUCAAAAGGGUCUUCCAAGAGUGCUAGACUACACCUGCACUGAUGCCUGAAGUGCUGCUCUAUCACCCAACCUCCUGAAAUGAUCCCUACAAGAGCACUACACCGUGUUUGUGUGACCUUGAGGUGCUGCCCUAUGUUUGGCCUCCCCACACAGGCCCUUCAAGAGCCCUCUUGGGUGUUUGUACAAGCCCUGAGGUGCUGCUGUAUCAGCCCAUCCCCUUGAAAACAUCCCUUGAUCCCAGUACAGAUGGGCACAUGCCUGCAGCCCAGCUGUUGGCUCUGUGGUGGUGGCAGCUGUCCCAGUUUCUCUGCUGGAAGCGCUGUUGCACUGUGCCAGGAGGCUGCUGAGGAGGCCGGAGUGGAUGCCAUACACACUACCAACAGGAUGCCUGCCUUCACCCUGAAAAAGGAUGCUGUGUACGUUAUUGCUGCUGGGCUGUCCCUGACCUGCUUUGCUAUACGUCAAAGGCAGAGUAGGAGGUGUAAGGUGCAGAAUUUGCUUCACCAGACACCUGUCACGUCUUUUUACUGGCCUCCAGCUAGUUGCAAGGUGAGCUACAGGCAGUCUUCCUGUUUUUCUCAGUGCACCAAACUUCAGCUACCCAAACUGCACUGUUUGGCGCUGUGGAUGAGCAUAACAACUACGUCUGGUCACAGAACUGGGAUGAAGUCCAUGAGAUAAGCAUUUCUGAUCAAUAGGAUCUGGCUAUAAAGCAGUCUGCAUUACUUCGUAGUACUUUACAUUGCAAUACUUCGCUCUUGGACAACGUGUUCAAUCCGUGAUCUCAGAAAAGAAACACACCCUCCUAACCCUUAUGGGCCAGAAGUGGUGGAAACCCCAAAACAAAAGAACGAAACAAGCUCCCCUAACCAAAUUCAACAUGGGCUUUGAGUCACAGAAGAGGAAUUGCAGAAGGAUUCAGGGAGUUCACGAAGGACUUCUUGACUGGUAUUGACUUUGCGUGGAAGGCAUCCAGACUAGCACUAUGCUCCAGUUUUAAAAUGCUGAACCAAAAGGCUGUAUGCAUUCAGCUCCAAGACCACUUGACAGACUUGGAUUAAAUAGAUCCCAAUGCUGGGUGUGAUGUGCUGCAGCCCAUGGUGGCUGGUAUGUGGAUGCUGCAUGAAGGACUUAAGAGGUGUCUCAGGAGCCACCUCCAUCCUACCCGGCCCUGCUCCCCCUGGUGCUGUGGUCAGCUCAUCCCAAGAGAGACAGACCCUCAAAGCCCAAUGCAUGUUCAUCCUGGCAUUGCUGAGGGACGGCAGCAAUGCAGCCACCACGGCAGCUCUCCAGCAGGCAACAGCAUCCAGGGACCCUCCUUCCGGGGAUGCGCUCCCGUGGUCUCGGAGUGCUGCCAAAAACCCCUCCCAUCAGAAGUCCAUGAUGAAUGACCUGUCCUUGAGUCACAGAAAAGCUCCUGACCAAACCAAGCCCUGAAUUUUUUGCUGAGCUGGAAGGACAUGAUGCUGCAGCCACGAGAUUCACCCACCGUGUCGGAGGAUCCAUGCAGGAUGCAGUCUGAGAGCCCCCAAACUCACUGCACACAGGAUGCUUCAGUGCCAACAGCUGGUCUUUUUCAGAUGCGGGACUUUGGAAAGGAAGGAGCAUCCUACCUCUGACAUCUCCACUGAGCCGUAUUAUUAGUUUUGGCGAUUAAAUAGAAACCCGUUUGCAGGUGACAAUGCUGUAAAAAUAAGUAGGUACCAGAGCCGACAUUGUGAAAAUAAGGCAGGAGAACAGAGCUCAGGCAGCAUACAUAAUCUGUGGGGAAAUAAGUGUGUGAAUAAUGAAUGUGCACUGGAAAAAUAAAAUACAUUAUUGUGGUAAAGAUAAGUCUAUUAAAGUCUUGCUGCAGUGCCUGCGCUGGGACACCUGAUAGAUUACUGAGUUCUCCACCUCAAGGUGCAGCUCUCUACUCGGCUGCGUGCCCCUACCUAGGCAUCCACCUGGUGUGGGCUUGCCAGACUCCCCCGACUCACCUGAGAGGGACACCUUGGACCUUCUUGACCACUUUUCCUGCUCACUGUAAGUGUUCUGCAGCGUCUUUUAGCUGAGUUAAGGGAAUCGCCUACCAGGAUGGGAGUUGGGUGCAG